rnacentral:lncRNA from 10 species
UCAGGUGAGUACCUGGGGCAUAACUUACUCCGGAGUCUCCCCUGCAGAUUUCACACCAGAACCGUGGAAAUGAAGCAUUUUGAAUUUUAAUGACCAAACAAUUCAGUGCUAAUGACUAACUACUCCAACCACAACCAAAAGCAUGACAUGGGAUGUAGACAGCAAACCACUUUUGAAUUUGACAGGCAGUGAAAUAUAUUCCUCCCUCAGAGAGAGACCCCUCAGGGAGGGGCACCCAAAUAUUUGGAGAACAGACUACUAGAGUGGGGAUUCAUUGACAUUCACUUGGUAACAGCGAACACGAAGUAAGACAUUUUCAGACAAGGACUGAAUCUUGUGACUGAACUUGGGGAAGAAUGAAUAACUUUUUUAACUUUUUUUUUUCUGGGGGUCGGGAGUAGACAUAAAUGAGGUAGAGGGUCUCACUGUCUGGAACACUAGGCUUUUGAGGGUCACUUCCUUCCUUCCUUCCUUCCUUUCUUCCUUCUUUC